rnacentral:rRNA from 1 species
CCUACGGGAGGCAGCAGUGAGGAAUCUUGGUCAAUGGGCUUACGCCUGAACCAGCCAAGUCGCGUGAGGGAAGACUGCCCUAUGGGUUGUAAACCUCUUUUGUCAGGGAGCAACGCCGGCUACGUGUAGCCGGACUGAGAGUACCUGCAGAAAAAGCAUCGGCUAACUCCGUGCCAGCAGCCGCGGUACUACGGAGGAUGCGAGCGUUAUCCGGAUUUAUUGGGUUUAAGGGGUGCGCAGGCGGAGGCACAAGUCAGCGGUAAAAUCGCGGGGCUCAACCCCGCUCGGCCGUUGAAACUGGGUCCCUUGAGUGCGCGAAGGGUAGGCGGAAUGCGUGGUGUAGCGGUGAAAUGCAUAGAUAUCACGCAGAACUCCGAUCGCGAAGGCAGCCUACCGGCGCGCAACUGACGCUCAUGCACGAAAGCGUGGGUAUCGAACAGGAUUAGAUACCCGAGUAGUC